ensembl:lncRNA
GUGUGCUGUGAAGUAUCCUGGGCUUCAGGGAUUGUGAAGUUCAGAAGAAGGUGGUGUUUCUGGGAGCCAGUGUAGGAUUACUGAAGCACCACUGCUUUCCAGACAGUCCCAGACAGCUCAUUAAACAGAACUGGUUACAAGAUUCCACUCAACCAUAAAGAGGCCAGGAACGGGAAGCACUCAGAGACCAUCUUCACCGGCUAUGGCUCACAGCAGCAGGGCUGGCACUGCAACAAAAGUUUCUAGCCAGAAAGAAUGCUUGAGUCCCUUGGAUUCUCUCUGGGAGCAUAAGAAGAAUUGCGCAAUUUCAAGGGGUCAUGCCAGACUGGACAAACAUGUUUGUUCCUUAGGGGAGAAGCCUGUGAUUUAGUGAGGCUCCCAGUGCCUUGGGCCUAAGGGCAGAAAGACAAAUUCCAGACUCACUGGCUGGGGAAGAGCUGCAGCUGGUCUGAACUGGGUGUACACAGCCUGGGUGUACCUUGGGGAUGGAGCAGAGCUGAGUCUUCAGGUGAAAGACCUUCAGUACCUGAGCUUAGCAGAGCUGAAAAGGAGGGCUGGCUGUUUCAUCACUUACAGAUGGCUUUUCAAGACAGACCUACAUUACUGGCAGCCUUGGAUCUCUCUCAACACCACUCAUUGGGCAUCUAGAAUGAGAUUUCUGGGCAUUUGAAAUCUCUUUCUACGUAUAUUCCCUUUCUCAGUGACUUGCACCUGGCCCCUUGAUGCCCUGACAAGAACUAUUCCGGCACUCUUGACCUAGUAAGAACCCAUUAAUCACUGUUUGUUAUGGAUGGAACAUAGAACUUCUAUCCACAGAAACUGGAUAUAAAGUUGUCCAACCUGACUGGAAACAAUGCUUCUUGAAACUUUAUGAUGUAAAAUUGGAUUGAUUGAGGAGAAAAACUGCUAUCUGUUGCAAUUCUAUUUUAUAUCAGGCACUGCGCCAGGCGGGGCUUCCCAAGUGGCACUUCCCACGUGCCGAUGCAGGAGACGUGAGAUGGGGAUUCUAUCCCUGGGUCUGAAAGAUCUCCUGGAGGAGGAUACAGCAACCCACUCCAGUAUUCUUGCCUGGAGAAUCCCAUGGACAGAGAAACCUGGUGGCCUAUAAUCCAUAGGGUCACAAAGAUUCAGACAUGACCGAAGCAAUUUAACAUUCACACACAUGCUGGGCCAGGUACUUCAAAACAUCAUCCCAUUUACUUCUCACAUUAGUCAUGAGGCAGGUUUUCUUUUCUUUCACUUUAUAAAUAAGGACCAGAGACUCACAGGUUAAUUAGCUUGCAUGAGUUUAUACACUGUGUGGAUCAGUAAGCAAUGAAGCUGUGUUCUGAAGGCAGGACUCCAUAGCUCAAGGCGUUAUCACUUCACCACUCUGCAGACAAUAGAAAUAACACAGUACUUUGACCAACCAAUGAGCAUCACAAGGGGCCUCCUAGAUAUUAUUUAUACAUCUGCUAAAGAGGGGAACCACAGAGGAGAGAGCAAUUAGCUAACUAGUGAAUCAUCCUCUGUUGCACAAAUAAGCUAAUUGAAUUUACUUAGGAAGAAACAAGGCCCCCCUGUUUCUGCUAUCCAGUCUUGGGCCAGUUAAUUUACCUCUUGGAGCCCUGGUUUCUGUAUCUAUAAAAUGUGAUCUCCCCCUUUGUCAGGGAUUCCCUUACCAAUCCAUUUAUAAGGAUUAGCUGAGAUUAUAUAUGUUCAAUCAAUACGGAUACUGAAAAGAAAUAUUCAAAUGGAAGACAUCAUUAUUGACUUUGCCCACCAGACAUUAUAAGUAAAAUAUUUUCCACUUCAUGUGUUAAAAUUGUACAGGAGGGAGCCAGGCUAACCCUAGAUUUUAACAAGAAAACAUUUCUAAUCAAGACAUCAGACAUAACUUAAGCAAACAAAAUUAGGUCUUUAGAACAAUUUAUUCUAAUAUGUAAUUUUAAAUGAUUUUCUGUAUAGAAUAGAAAUGGAUCGUAAGAUUAAUGAGUGAGCUAAUCACAAGUUAGGAAACCUGAAUUUAUUAGCAGUAGUCUUUAAGUUACUUUUGCUUUAUAAAUUUUAUAUAAUUGCCAAAUAUUUAGAAGUACAGGCAGAAACAUCCUUUUAAAAAUGUACUGCUUUUUAAGUUCUUUCUAUGAAAACUAGGAAAGGAAAAAAACAAUUUUUUAUAUGCAAGACUUCCUGCUAUUAACCGUCAAUAACACUUAAGUGUAUUUUUGGAGACAUGAAACAGCACAAAGAUGCUUCUGUAAUUCAUUAGAAGGCCCUUCUUAAGUAUAAUUAUAUUACACAGCUCUGCUUGGUCAUUAGUUUCUUGUUUAGCAACAAUGUCCUUCAUUUUAAAUCCUUUGAUGGUAAUCAUUUGUAACUAUGCCCUUGAAUUCUGAAAGCAUGUGUACCACAGCCCUGAUGAACAAUGGGUAUUUCUGGACAAUGACGUAACUGGUUUCCCAUAAGAGAUCAUACAGAAAUGGCCUGUAAGAACACUAACAAUUUGCAGAAGGCUUCUGAGCUUGGAGUACAGCCCCAAAUGUGGUGUGUGCUUAUGCAUGUACAUGUGUGCGCUUGUGCAAUAAAAAACUAAAACCAAGUCGUUAGAUACAAGGCAUGAUUUUCUUAAUGGCUUAAUAACCAUGUCACAUUUUAAAGUUUUUGAUGCUGCUUAAAUUAAGGUGUGUUAACACAUAUCAAGGAGAAGGCAAUGGCACCGCACUCCAGUACUCUUGCCUGGAAAAUCCCAUGGACGGAGGAACCUGGUAGGCUGAGGGCCAUGGGGUCGCUAAGAGUUGGACACGUCUGAGCGGUUUUACUUUCACUUUUCACUUUCAUGCAUUGGAGAAGGAAAUGGCAACCCACUCCAGUGUUCUUGCCUGGAGAAUCCCAGGGAUGGUGGAGCCUGAUGGGCUGCCGUCUAUGGGGGUCGCACAGAGUCGGACACGACUGAAGUGACUUAGCAACACAUAUCAUAGAUUGACCUGAGAGUGAGACAUUUUGGAGAUAUUUUUAGUUUUACCCGUCUUCUUUGUGCAGAAAAAUGUCUCAUGUUUGUGUAUUUACUUACAUAUACAUAUAUUGAGCACCCAUAUGCAUUGGGAACUAUUUAGGUGCAUAGAACCCAGAUCUUGGUUUCCACAAGAGCAACCAGG